rnacentral:rRNA from 11 species
CCCAGCUUGGACAUACCCUAAAGAUACCACAUCCUGUCUGAACCUGGAAGCUAAGCAGUGUCAACUCUGGUUAGUAUGUCGAUGGGAAACUUCCAAUGAAUAUCAGGUACUGUUGGUU